rnacentral:lncRNA from 1 species
GCGCAUCGACGCAGCAGAGCAUUUGCAAAACUCGCGGGAUUUCAGUUUCAGCAGCAGAAUGUGUUUACGAGGAGUCGAGGAGGCGGAGGUGAGGACGUGAGGUGAUCUCACAGUGCGGAGGUCGAGGCGAGCAUCUCACAGCGCUUCGGCAUCCCGCCGUGCGGGCGCGGGUGGACAACGAACGUCACUCGCGUCACGCGUUUCAGUCGCCAAAAACGGGAGGUUCGCGCUGGAACUUGCGCCCAGCUUCUUCCGCUCGUCCCUUCUACGACCGCACAGGCGCACAGCUGACAGGCCCCCCCUCGCGCACUCAUCGAAGGGAAUCUCGCGAGAGGCUUGCGCCGGUGCCGGUACGCUCUUCAGUCUUCACUCGGGCCCUCUGUUUAGUUGUCCGAUUUUGGACAACCAAAAUCACUGUAACAGCACUGUAGUAUACUGUAGCGUUUCGUUUGUAUUUAUAAAUUAUUGUUCAAACAUUAACUAAUUAGGCUCAAAAGAUUCGUCUCGCAAAGUACAACAAAACUGUGCAAUUAAUUU